CUGAACCAGCCAAGUAGCGUGAAGGAUGACUGCCCUAUGGGUUGUAAACUUCUUUUAUAGGGGAAUAAAGUUGUCCACGUGUGGAUUUUUGUAUGUACCAUAUGAAUAAGGAUCGGCUAACUCCGUGCCAGCAGCCGCGGUAAUACGGAGGAUCCGAGCGUUAUCCGGAUUUAUUGGGUUUAAAGGGAGCGUAGGCGGAUUGUUAAGUCAGUUGUGAAAGUUUGCGG
rnacentral:rRNA from 1 species